rnacentral:lncRNA from 1 species
GUAAAUUGGAUGCUGAGCAGUGUCUUUUUAACAAUAAGUAAUUUUCAUCCAUGGAAACGUGAGCUACACUCCACCCGCCCCAUCGGCAGCCGGCGGGCCACGGUCGUGCUUUUGUACAUAAUACCUUUUUGUCAAAACGUAUGACAUAGAUCAUUCACAUCCAAAUUGUGGUUUGGACGAGUCGUGAGCUAAUAAUUGUAAAAACAGCCAAAUCUGGCAGAGAAAUGUGGACUAACAAAGAGCUUAAGGAGGUAAAGAAUCCAAGUGCCAGGCAGGGUGGGGUGGGGGGUGUCGUGGAGAGCACUUGCCCCCAUCAAGAGCUCUGGAUUCAGUCCCAGCCCUGGGAUCGGAAAGCGGGGAAGUGGCAUUUCCACUUGUAGUUUGAUGUUUUAUAGCUCUAUUUUCUGUGGCCAAUUACACAAUGAUUGGGUGAACUCCCCCCUUUUAGUGCGGGGUGAGGACUGAACCAGGACUUUGCACAAGCCAGGCAGCACUCCCGCUGAGCUUCACCCCGGCCCGACAGUGGGCACGUCUGAAGGGAAAGAUCCAGGACUCCACGUGCCAGGUGGGGAGGGCCAGGCUGAGGGGCAGUCUCGCUGACAGGCUCCGGCAGGUGGUGCAGGGCCUCACUCCGCAAGAGAAGGGGAGAGUGUGUGCGGGCUCGUUUCUCUCUGUCCCCUCUUCCUAAGCCUGCAGGUUCAGUCGUGGGGCCCCACCCCGUUCCCUUAUCCGUCUGAAUCGCCCCGCGGCCCCACCUCUGAACUCGACUCCAUAGUCGGGUUCUUUCUGCCCCCCCACUACCUCAGGUGGGGGCUGAAUUUCAACACAGGACCCCUGGGGACCCUCAAUGGUCCCAACGAUAGCUGUUUGAGGAGUAGUCAGUGAAUAUUUUUCAGGUGUAAGACAUAGACAUUGGUUCAGAACUCUGUGGGCCAAGUGGAAUGGACGUAGGAGGUAAAAGAAACGUCGGUGCCUGUUCAGGAUAGUCUUUUACAAUGGGCACCCCGGGCCUGCGGUUUAGAUCUUCUUAAAAGACAGAUCCGACGGUGGUUGAAAGCAGGUCAGUGUUUGCUGAUGAUACAGAGGCAACACCGAUGAAUCUCAAAGACAUCUCUCAAAGUAAGAGACAUCUCAUGCCAGAGAGACCCCGCG